rnacentral:rRNA from 1 species
UGUCGAAGCGAACGCGUUAAGCAUCCCGCUGAGGACUACGGCCGCAAGGUUAAAACUCAAACGAAUUGACGGGACCCGCACAAGCAGCGGAGCGUGUGGUUUAAUUCGAUGCUACACGAAGAACCUUACCUGGGUUUGACAUCUAGGUGGUAGUGAAGCGAAAGCGGAGCGACCCUUCGGGGAGCCUAGACAGGUGCUGCAUGGCUGUCGUCAGCUCGUGCCGUGAGGUGUCGGGUUAAGUCCCGUAACGAGCGCAACCCUUGCCCUCCGUUAUACGUGUCAGAGGGGACUGCCGGCGGUAAGCCGGAGGAAGGUGGGGAUGACGUCAAGUCAGCAUGGCCUUUAUAUCCAGGGCUACACACACGCUACAAUGGCCAGUACAAAGGGCAGCGAAGCCGCGAGGUGGAGCGAAUCCCAGCAAAGCUGGUCGUAGUUCGGAUUGCAGGCUGCAACCCGCCUGCAUGAAGCUGGAGUUGCUAGUAACCGCGCGUCAGCCAUAGUGCGGUGAAUACGUUCCCGGGGUUUGUACACACCGCCCGUCACGUCAUGGGAGUCGAUAACGCCUGAAGCCGGUGGCCUAGCUCGGAAGAGAGGGCGCUGUCUAAGGCGGGGUCGGUGACUGGGACGAAGUCGUAACAAGGUAACCAAGGGCGAA